AACGAACGCUGGCGGCGCGCCUAAUACAUGCAAGUCGAACGAGAAGCUGUAGCAAUACAGUUGUACAGUGGCGAACGGGUGAGGAAUACAUGGGUGACCUACCCUCGAGUGGGGAAUAACCAGCCGAAAGGUUGGCUAAUACCGCGUACGCUUCCCAGUCUACGGGUUGGGAAGGAAAGCGAUGCCGUGGGUAUCGCGCUCAAGGUUGGGCUCAUGUCCUAUCAGCUUGNGGUGGGGUAACGGCUCACCAAGGCAACGACGGGUAGCUGGUCUGAGAGGACGAUCAGCCACACUGGCACUGCGACACGGGCCAGACUCCUACGGGAGGCAGCAGUAAGGAAUAUUGCGCAAUGGGCGAAAGCCUGACGCAGCGACGCCGCGUGGGGGAGUGAAGGUCUUCGGAUUGUAAACCCCUUUCGGGUAGGGAAGAUGGAACGAGCAAUCGUUCGGACGGUACCUCCAGAAGCAGCACGGCUAACUUCGUGCCAGCAGCAGCCGC
rnacentral:rRNA from 1 species